CUGAGAGCUGUCCUUCAUAGCAACAGAACUUCAACGAUGACUUUUAUCAUGAGCUUCGUGUGGAUAUUGAUGUCUUUAAUUCACGAAUCCAGAGGACAGGUCACUGUGACUCAGACUCCUGCAGUGAAAGCUGUUCUCCCAGGACAGACAAUCUAUCUGACCUGUAAAACCAGCAGUAAUGUGUAUGAUGCAGGGACCUCGUAUCCCCGUCUAGCCUGGUACCACCAGAAACCUGGAGAAGCUCCUAAACUCUUUAUUUACUAUGCUACAACACUUCAGUCUGGGACUCCUUCUAGAUUCAGUGGUAGUGGAACUCAUAGUGACUUCACUCUGACCAUCAGUGGAGUCCAGGCUGAAGAUGCAGGAGAUUACUACUGUCAGAGUCAACACAACCUCAACAGUGUCUGGGUGUUCACACAGUGAUACAGAGCCGUACAAAAACCUCCCUCAGUCAGACUGCACAGUGACUGUCCUGCUACAGCUGGGACCUACUGCAGGUGCUGAGGGGAGGAGAUGAUCCAGUACAAUGACACAGUGUYUAGUAGAGCUGAACAACAACAGAGUCAAACUAGAGCUAUGUCUAGAAGACCUUAGAUCAUAACUGAUCACUAUAUGUUUCUCCUGACCAUUAACUACAUGUUGACUCUGUUGAGUAACUCAAGGAAAACUUUCAACCAAUCUGAAUAGAGAUGAUGUGCAAUGAUCCAAACCCCUGAAGAUGACCUUAGCUAGGAUUUGAAUGUGUUUUGAAUAGCUAGAAUUUAAUCAACAUGAUUCAAACAAAUACAAUAAAGCCCCCAAACAUUACCCAUACAUUCUCCCUCACACCACUGUGGUAGUUGUCGAGCCAGCUGAGGCGUGGGAACCUAUCAAAUGUCGAGCCUGUCAAAUGUCAAACCUAUCAAAUCAAAUGUCGAGCCAGCUGUAGGCGCGGGGGCCGGUGGCUUCUGAUGAGGCCCGGGGGUCGGUUGCUUCUGAUGAGGCCCGGGGGUCGGUUGCUUCUGAUGAGGCCCGGGGGUCGGUUGCUUCUGCUGAGGCGCAGGGGCUUCUGCUGAGGCGCUUGAACCUGUCGAGCCAGCUGAGGCAUGAUUGGUGGUUUCGGCUGUGGCAUUUGGACCUGGCGUCACCAGAAAAUCCCUGUUGCUUCCAUUUGUUGAGGCAAUAUUCUGUAACGCAGACGCUGGGAGUCAAGAAGCAAGUACAAGGGGUGAAUUUAAUAAUACAAUAAACAUGGAACAAUACAAAACAAGAUUAGCGUCUGGGGAAUUAACCAAUGGGAGUGACAGAUAUACUAUAGGAGAGGUAAUCUUAGAAGUGAUGGAGUGCAGGUGAGUCUCAUGAGUCGCAGGUGCGCGUGAAGAUGGUGGCAUGCAUGGGGAAAAAACUGCCGGGCCCCUAACAUAUAAAUCAGAAUGUUUCAGAUUAAAAUAACGUAUUGAACAAUAUGUGUUAUUAAAUGUACUAACUAUAAGCUUCUGCUGCUAUACUACAAUUGUGCAGAUUCUAGUUUCCACCGUCAUCCUUUGCCAACAUUAACAGUAUUGCAAAUAGUAUUGCAAACAUUUUUGGUUCCUAAUGUUAACAAAAGCUGUCUGUG